ensembl:snoRNA small nucleolar RNA SNORD41
CUGGAGUUGAUGUAUUAGAAAUACCUGACUAUCACUGAUGGUUUUUGUAUUCAUACUGUCUGAUCCAG